rnacentral:lncRNA from 1 species
ACAGAGAAACAGAAUCCUUUUAUCUGAACCAGCUAUCUUGCCUCCCAGUGCCUUCACAACAAGCUGGAUGUACUCAGGAUGCGCCUUAUAUAUAACUCCAGUAAUGAGAUUGCCAUCAGAAACACAAUCCAUCAUGGUUUUGGGUUCAAUCCAAAGAGCACCGGCAUCGAUGAGAACAGGUCCCAGAGCACGGUAUGCAGUGCACUUCCGGCCUUUAAUAAGCCUGCAGCUGCCAAGAUCAAUGGCCCAUGGCAAAUAGCAGCAAUCAGCUUUCCUGAAUCGGAAAAUUGCCUCGCACAAUUUAACACAGAUUCAUUCAUGGCAAGAUAUUCUGGAGCCCUUCCUCCUGGUAUAACAAGCGCAUCAUAUUUGCUGAAAUCAACUUCAUCGAAAGUUGCAUUGAGACUAAAGUUGUGCCCAGGCUUCUCAGUAUAAGUCUACAGCAAGUAAAGUUCGAACAAACACAUCAGAACUAAGGAAAUGAAUGGCCAUAUUAUGGAUGUACUUUAUUUGAUCAGUUGGGCUACACCCACCAAGUUUGUCAGAAGUUCAAAACACGGUUUUUAUCAAAAAGGGAGCUCGCUAGACACAUCAUGAAUGUAAUACGAUCAUGGAAUCAUUAUCACUAUCAGUCUCACCACGACCACUAUCAUCACCAAGAUCAUCACUAUUACAUUCCUCCACUGCCAUCGGAGCCAGCAUUAACACCAACAUUACUACCUCCACCUCCAGCAUCCAUAUCACAUGACAAGCAAUUAAUCAGAAAAACCCUCUAAUUGGUUUUAGAAAAAUCAAAAUCUUAUAUUUGAAAUCUUCUUUAAUCCAAGAAGAUUUGCCUAACACAAUGGGUUUUGUCCACUAAUAUCUAGAGACUGACAUACUCACAUGCUUGUUUUCGUUAACAAUCAUGAAAUGGAUAUUUAUAUAAUAACAAAUUAAUAAAUACAAGGAAGGGGGGGACCUGAUAUCCAUGAUAGGCACCAGAGUCCCCAACUGUAGUGCGGCAAUAAUCACCAGCUUUCUUUCCAGGACAAACAGCAUCAACUGCUAUUCCAUAAGCCUGCAAGGCUUGAAAUGGAACCAUAGCCUGCAAAAACAAUAACAAAACUCCAUCACUUAAAGAAGAAAAACAACUUCAAAAUGAGAAAGACUGAUAAAAACGAAAGCAACCCACCUCAUAAUCUUCCAUGUAAUCCCCACAUAACAAUAGAACUUUCUUCCGUGGCUUGCAAUUAGCCAUUGCUGAUGCUAACAAUGACGCUUGAGAUUUAGCUCUCUGUGUAUUGCUAUGUGAGUGAUUAUAAAUUUAUAAGUGCAGGAGAAACGUAUUGUUCUUUAACUCUCUUUGUUAAUGUUGACUCGAUGCACAUUCUGACGAAUAGAAUAAAGAAAAUGGGCGGUUUGUUAUUAACGAAAACAACUACAUGACUUCAGUUCGGUUUCACUAUUCAUAUAAAAACAUCGAAAAAAAAGAGUUCAUAUAUAUAUAUAUAUAUAUAUAUAUUUUAAUUGUUUUCUAACAUUGUUAUGCUUAGCUCAAUUGGUUUGUUGACGUGUCUUAGUCGAAGUGUCUGCUAUGUGAUAGAUAAUCGUUUUUUUUUCCUUUUAAAAAAUGGAUGAUAAAUGUUGUUCGUAACCUGAAAAUAGAAAAAAAAAUACGAGUUAGACUAAAUCGCAUUUAGACUUGAUCCAAUCAAGUCUUACAUCAAUACUGAAUCAUUAUUAAUGAUAAUUUUCAGGUGAAAAUGAAACACAACAACUCACUAUCGAAAUUAGCAUGAUAUUUAAAGUGAUCUUGUUAAUUUUUCACUGACAUCAUUCAUAUUGUAAGCAAAAUCCUCUGCUAAUGACAUUGACAGGUCAUCAUUCAUUCGCACAACCAACAUGAUGAAAACCCAUUUCUUUGCCAAGCAGUAGAGUCUAUUUUCGCCACAGGCAAAACAGCAGACAAGUUACAAAGAUUUCUAGACACUAACAUAGAAUCCAUGUGUUAUUUGUUACAAGAUGGAUUUCUACUCCCAAACAUGGAGUCUGCAUCCGUGUGUUAUUUGAUAUAAGGUACAAGCACAGCAGUUAACAUGAAAAUAGCUAAAAUGACACCCGGAUUCCAAGUAAAGCCAUCAACAGAGAGACGAAAUCAGGGUGCCCAGGCCAAGCAGCUCCUGUGAUUAAAUUCUCAUCGGUGUAGCACCGAUGCAUUGAAUCAGGUUCUAGGCUUGUAGCCAUGUUGCCCCUCCCAAGACAACAUUCAGCUUCACCGCAGGGUUUACUGUGCAUUUUAGUCCCUGCAAAGGUGAUUCGUAUGAGGGAUUAUACGGUAUAACACAUGUAAUUAACAUAUGAUAUUUGCAAUUCUAUGGAGCAAUCCUGUUUCAAACAUAGAAGAUAAAGGUGGUUGAAUCUGUCAUUUGAUGAUAUGAGCCAUGAUCAGUUGCAUACGAAUUUUCUUCAGAGGUAAAGUUCUAAAAGUAGUAUAGUUUUAAAUGUUAAAAGCGGUAAAACUAAUCUUUAAGCAUUUCCAUGUCUCCCUGUUGUCCACUGAUGACAGUCUUGCUAGCAUCAAAUAAAUAACGUGUGCACACUGUUGUAAAAAACAUGGUUGAAUCUGUAAACGUGGAGAUUUGACUCCAUCGACCACGCUAGCCGCCUCUCCUCACCUAUCUUGUCUUAACUUCAAGCGUGGGGUUAUAAAAAUAUACACACAUCACAUAAUGUUUACCUGCACUUUUCAAAGAGGGCAUUAAUCUUCACUGAUGCUGGGCAACAUGACAGGUUUGUUCCACUUGCUCACACAUAGACAAUCCACGCAUAGUGUGAUGCAUUUUUCAUCUUGCAGGAUGCUGCUUCAAACCAUGUCAAAGUUUUAUUUGUUAUUUUCCAAUGUCGAGAUGAUGCACUGACCGAAACCACUGUCUCAUUUGCUCCAUAUACAUUCCCUUGACAGUUAUUACUUGAGUGUUCUACUAAUAAAUAAAUGGUUUUGCCUUUCAUUCCUUAAGUUUACACUUGCCAUUGGUUAAGUAUUUCAUCUUAAUAUGUGAUUCAGCACCACCCAACUUCCCCAGCCAAGAGAACCUGGAAGAUUAUGCAGGUUCAUCAAAGAAACAUCUUGGCGGAGAUGAUGUCGGUCCUGCACCAGCACUUCCAAAGAAGCAAUGCCUCUCCAUUCCAUCCCCUGAAAAGGUUUGCAUCUACAACAUCAUUUAUCUCUCUGUGCUGCUCCACCUUCUCUCUGUUUAACAAAGAUACUUUUCGUACAGAUCAACUCGCCAGAUAACCAAUUAUUCAAUCACAAGCAGCUACAUCAUUCUUAUUUCCUUUGAGAAUCAUUUGUAGCUUACACUUACACUUAUCUCCUAAAGUAGGAAAAAAACUAGCAUUCAGUUAAUCAAUGCUUUCUUAUCCAGCAUCGCAAGCUCAUUGGACAUCUUCUUCACCUGCUUUUUUAUUGCAACCUGCAGUUCAUCGACGUCCACCUUUUCUCUAUGUACGAGGCAUAAAGUACUUGGCUCCAGGCACCUUUUGUUUUGCUUUGAUUUAACUAUCUUUACUCAACUUUUGCAAUCCUGUCACUAACUUUAUGAAUUCCAUGCCUUUACUUAACUUUUACAAUCGUAUCACUAACUUUAUGAAUUCCAUGCCUUUUACUUCAUAAUAUUUCUGGGCAUUUUAUCUUUGUCUAUUAUAAUAAUUAGAAUCAAAUUUCACUUAAAACACCCUCAGCAUUGCGUCGGCAUCAAAAGCUAGUAAAAAGCUAUAAUCUGUAGCUUUUUUGAUAUCACAGCAGCAUUAUGCAAUAUCAAACAAAACAUUACAAUAGCUUUGACUUUUAUAUUUUGUGCCCAAUAAAUACAGAAGAUAAUAAAAUAAGCGGAAGUUUUUCUUUUUUUUCCUAAAUCUUGGUAUCUAGAAAUUCAAUAGGCUUUAAUUAAUUCGGUCAAGUCGGGAUGAUCUACUAAGAGGUAAAGCUCUUCCAGUAAUAAUAUACUUCAUUCAUAAAACUCGAAUUCAAAAAAUAAAAGGAAUAAGUUUCAAAUCACUUAAUCCAACUAUCAUUGAUUAGCGUGUAAGUUUAACAAAAGACAACAACAUAUUUUGUUUAAGAAAAUUUUUUUUUUAAACUAAUUUUAAAAUCAACUUAAGUAUUACAAAAUAAAUAAACAUAAAAGACAUGCAUCUCUAUUUUCAUGGUCUCAUUACCUGUACUCUAAAACGAGUGGGAUUUUCAUUGUACAUUUAUUACUGUAUAAAAUUUGUAUUUUUUAAAUUUUGUAAUCAAACUUCUUUUUUGGGCAUUUUAGUCCCAAUUAAGAAGCAAUUGGCUUUAAAUUUUUAUGAAAGGGUGAGAUUGAAAAAAGAGGGACCGAAAUGAAAAACAUGUCAAACAUGGGUGACGCACCAUGAGUUUCGAAAAAAUAUAUUUUGGUCCUUCAACUUAAAUAAUCAAGAAAAUUAUACAUGUGUUUUCAAAACUAAAUGGACCGAAAAUAAACUUUGGCAAAAAAGCAGAGGUGCUGUUUUUUCCCCCUAUAUCAGAGCUGCCAUUUUGAUUGUUUUUCAAUAUUGGUACCCUAGCUUCUAAUUCAAUUAGAACCAUAAAAUUAAUUUGAUCUCCGCAAUUUCAAGUCGCAACCUAAAGUCAAAAUGCCUUGUCAAGACCACGGUAGCCUAACAGAAGGCAAGCAGGAUCAACGUAGAACACAAAUACCUAAAUUCACUUAAUAUCAAAGGAUUUAAUUGAAGAAAAAAAACCUCAAAAAAAAAUAAAAAGUUAGAGGGGCCGGGAACAUAAAAGGAAAAAAACACUGUUCUAUUGACAUGUGAGUAUAGCUACAAUUGCCAAAUCUUUGAGGGUGUUUUGUAAUUUUUAAAAAAUACUAGCACUUAUAGAUGCAGAAAUAUUCCAUUUUAUUUCCAAUUGACUUGAAAAUCUUUCAGAGACGCCGGCCGUUGUUUGUGAAUGGAGGGGAGUUGUUCCUCCCUUGUCCCUGCUAUCGGAUUUGGUAUGGGUUCACGUAUUUUCAUAUUUUUUUUAUAAUUAGAAUAUAGUAUUUAAUAGUUUAUACUCAAUAAAAAAUAAAAUACAAUGCCAAAUGAGGCCAUCCACUUAAACAUUAAAGCAGGGUCAUCAAGGGCUUUGAAUCCGGAUGUUAUUUGAUAGACAUACACGAACAGGUAGUAUUAUUGCAACAGCACAGCUAGAAUGACACUCGGAUACCAAGUAAGGCCAUCAGCUGAGACACAAACUGAGGGUGCCCUGGCCAUGCAGCUCCGGUAACCAGGUUUUCGUCGGUGUAGCAACGAUCGAUUGGAUCCGGUUCUAGCCAUGUUGCCCCUCCCAAGACGACGUUCAGCUUCACAGCAGGGUAUGCGGUGCAUUUUCUUCCCUGCAGCAACAUGAUUCACAUAUACAAGAAUAAGGAUGGCAGGUGUGAAGAAAAUGAUUACUUGUGUGAUUCUAUGAAAGUGAAAGAAAACAUUGGAUACUACCUUGAGAACUCCCGCAGCAGCUAGGAUCUGCUGCCCGUGACAAAUAGAGGCAACCGGCUUCUUUGAUUGCAUGAAUUUCUUCACCAAGGCAAUCACUGUCUCAUCCAGUGCCAAAUAUUCUGGAGACCGGCCUCCAGGGAUGACGAGAGCGUCGUAACUCGAGGCAUCCAAGCCUUCAUAGGAAGCUGUUAGAAUGAAAUUAUGGCCUGGCUUCUCAGUGUAUGUUUGGUCACCUUCAAAGUCAUGGACUGCAGUCGGGCAGAAAUCCCCAGCCUUCUUCUUGGGGCAAACUGCAUCAACGUGGCACCCAAGAGCUUGAAGGGAUUGAAGAGGAACAGUAACCUCAUAAUCUUCCAUGAAAUCCUGAAAGCAAGAAUAAGAGAAUAAAUACUUCUUAGUAAACAAGAAAAACACUUGUUUCUUCGAGCUUGAUGAUAGUAACCAGAGUAAAAUAAUUUUUGUAUUAGAACUUACCCCACAGAGAAACAGAAUCCUUUUAUCUGAACCAGCUAUCUUGCCUCCCAGUGCCUUCACAACAAGCUGGAUGUACUCAGGAUGCGCCUUAUAUAUAACUCCAGUAAUGAGAUUGCCAUCAGAAACACAAUCCAUCAUGGUUUUGGGUUCAAUCCAAAGAGCACCGGCAUCGAUGAGAACAGGUCCCAGAGCAUGGUAUGCAGUGCACUUCCGGCCUUUUAAUAAGCCUGCAGCUGCCAAGAUCAAUGGCCCAUGGCAAAUAGCAGCAAUCAGCUUUCCUGAAUCGGAAAAUUGCCUCGCACAAUUUAACACAGAUUCAUUUAUGGCAA